UACGUAGGGUCCGAGCGUUGUCCGGAAUUACUGGGCGUAAAGAGCUCGUAGGUGGUUUGUCGCGUUGUUCGUGAAAACUCACAGCUCAACUGUGGGCGUGCGGGCGAUACGGGCAGACUUGAGUACUGCAGGGGAGACUGGAAUUCCUGGUGUAGCGGUGGAAUGCGCAGAUAUCAGGAGGAACACCGGUGGCGAAGGCGGGUCUCUGGGCCGAAACUGACGCUGAGGAGCGAAAGCGUGGGGAGCGAACAGG
rnacentral:rRNA from 1 species